GUCGAAGCGUGUUACUCGGAGUGGACGACAUGGACAUCUUCAAAGGUAUCAGCUUAAAACUCUUGUCGAUGGAGCAACUACUUGAGCAACAUCCGGAGUGGAUCGGGAAGGUAGUUUUGGUGCAAAUUGCGAACCCUGCGAGAGGCCGCGGACGGGAUGUGCAAGAGGUGCAGUCUGAGACAUAUUCUACGGCCAGACGGAUAAAUGAGAGGUUUGGGAGCCCGGACUAUGAGCCAGUCAUACUCAUCGACAGCCCGCUUCAGUUCUUCGAGAGGAUUGCUUACUAUGUGAUUGCGGAGUGCUGCCUUGUCACCGCAGUGAGGGAUGGAAUGAAUCUGAUACCGUACGAGUACAUAUGUUGCCGGCAGGGGAAUGAGGUGUUGGAUCAUGCACUGCAGUUGGACCCGUCAGUGCUGAAGAAGAGCAUGCUUGUUGUCUCCGAAUUUGUCGGUUGUUCCCCAUCUCUUAGCGGGGCAAUACGUGUGAAUCCAUGGAACAUAGAUGCAGUGGCUGAAGCGAUGGAGACUGCUUUGGUGAUGCGAGAGCAAGAAAA
rnacentral:misc_RNA from 1 species